UAGUACCGUGAGGGAAAGGUGAAAAGAACCCCGGGAGGGGAAUGAAAGAGAACCUGAAACCGUAUGUCUACAAGCAGUCGAAGACCUUUAUAUGGUCGACGGCGUGCCUAUUGAAGAAUGAACCGGCGAGUUACUUCAGCUAGCGAGGUUAAGCGGAAAACGUGGAGCCGAAGCGAAAGCGAGUCUGAACAGGGCGUAUAGUUAGUUGGAGUAGACCCGAAACCACAGUGAUCUACCCAUGUCCAGGUUGAAGCACAGGUAAAAAUGUGUGGAGGACCGAACCAGUGAGCGUUGAAAAGCUUUUGGAUGAGAUGUGGGUAGGGGUGAAAUGCCAAUCGAACGUGGAGAUAGCUGGUUCUCCCCGAAAUAGCUUUAGGGCUAGCCUCAUGGCGAGAGUACAGGCGGUAGAGCACUGAACGGGGUAGGGGCCUAUCCGGCUACUGAACCUAAUCAAACUGCGAAUGGCUGUACUUAUCCAUGGGAGUCAGACUGUGAGUAAUAAGGCCCAUAGUCAAGAGGGAAACAGCCCAGACCAACAGCUAAGGUCCCCAAUGCCGUACUAAGUGGCGAAGGAUGUGGAAUUUCGAAAACAACCAGGAUGUUGGCUCAGAAGCAGCCACCAUUAAAAGAGUGCGUAAUAGCUCACUGGUCGAGAGACUCUGCGCCGAAGAUGUCCGGGGCUAAAGUACGGAACCGAAGCUUUGGCAAUUGACAUUAGUCAAUUGGGUAGGGGAGCGUUCCUGCAUGGGAGAAGCCUGACCGGAAGGACAGGUGGACAGGCAGGAAGAGAGAAUGCCGGUAUGAGUAGCGAAAAGAAGGGUGAGAAUCCCUUCCACCGAAAGCCUAAGGGUUCCUGGGCAACGAUCGUCGUCCCAGGGUAAGUCGGGACCUAAUCCGAGGCGGAGACGCGUAGGAGAUGGACAACAGGUUGAAAUUCCUGUACUGGCUGAGGCCGUUUGAGCGAAGGAGUGACACAGGAAGGAAGGCGCGCGUGCGAUUGGAAGAGCACGUCCAAGCAGGUAGGUCGGGAGACAGGCAAAUCCGUUUCCCGUGAGGCCGAGAUGCGAUGGGGAGCUUCUGGAGACAGAAGCGAAGGGGCUGGCACUAAACUGUCGAGAAAAGCUUCUAGUGAGGACUCAGGCACCCGUACCGCAAACCGACACAGGUAGGCAGGAUGAGAAUUCUAAGGUGCGCGGGAAAACCCUCGUUAAGGAACUCGGCAAAAUAUAUCCGUAACUUCGGGAAAAGGAUAACCCAGCGUACGUGAAGUGCAGAAGCGCACGGAGCGGAGAUGGGUGGCAGAAGAGAGGCCCAAGCGACUGUUUACCACAAACACAGGCGUCUGCUAAAGCGAAAGCUGAUGUAUAGAUGCUGACACCUGCCCGGUGCUGGAAGGUUAAGAGGAAGUGUUAGCGCAAGCGAAGCAGUGAAUUGAAGCCCCAGUAAACGGCGGCCGUAACUAUAACGGUCCUAAGGUAGCGAAAUUCCUUGUCGGGUAAGUUCCGACCCGCACGAAAGGUGUAACGAUUUGGGCACUGUCUCAACGAGGGACCCGGUGAAAUUGAAGUACCUGUGAAGAUGCAGGUUACCCGCGACUGGACAGAAAGACCCCAUGGAGCUUUACUGUAACCUGAGAUUGGAUUCCGGUAAGAGAUGUACAGGAUAGUUGGGAGGCUUAGAUGCAAGUACGCCAGUAUUUGCGGAGCCAUUGGUGGGAUACCAACCUUGUUUUAUUGGAAUUCUAACGAGAAGCGUAACGAGCUUGCGGACAGUCUCAGGCGGGCAGUUUGACUGGGGCGGUCGCCUCCGAAAGAGUAACGG
rnacentral:rRNA from 1 species